rnacentral:rRNA from 1 species
CCUACGGGAGGCAGCAGUGGGGGAUAUUGCACAAUGGGGGGAACCCUGAUGCAGCGACGCCGCGUGGGUGAAGGAGUGCUUCGGCAUGUAAAGCCCUAUCGGCAGGGAAGAAGCAAGACGGUACCUGACUAAGAAGCCCCGGCUAACUACGUGCCAGCAGCCGCGGGAAUACGUAGGGGGCGACGGUUAUCCGGAUGCACUGGGUGGAAGGGGGGCGUAGACGGCCAUGCAAGCCAGGGGUGAAAGCCCGGGGCCCAACCCCGGGACUGCCCUUGGAACUGCAUGGCUGGAGUGCGGGAGGGGCAGGCGGAAUUCCUGGUGUAGCGGUGAAAUGCGUAGAUAUCAGGAGGAACACCGGCGGCGAAGGCGGCCUGCUGGACCGCGACUGACGUUGAGGCUCGAAAGCGUGGGGAGCGAACAGGAUUAGAUACCCUUGUAGUC